AUUUAAAGAGUGCGUAAUAGCUCACUGGUCGAGUGACUCUGCGCCGAAAAUGUAACGGGGCUAAACACACCACCGAAGCUAUGGCUAGAUGCUUUGCAUCUGGGGUAGGGGAGCGUUGUAUACAGGUUGAAGGUGUACCGUAAGGAGCGCUGGACAGUAUACAAGUGAGAAUGCCGGUAUGAGUAACGAAAAGAUCAGUGAGAAUCUGAUCCGCCGAAAGCCCAAGGUUUCCUGAGGAAGGCUCGUCCGCUCAGGGUAAGUCGGGACCUAAGGCGAGGC
rnacentral:rRNA from 1 species